CCUGCAUUUUUUUGCACUAACGUAGUCUUUUGUAUUUCGUUUAUUCGUCCAGAAAGAUACCGUCAAAAACUAUUUUUUGAUUGAUUUUGAGUCAUUUUUCUGAAGUUGGAUAAGCUGAAGUAAAACCUAAUUAACAAUCAAAGUGUAUCCAGUUACUGAAAAUCGGACUUCUGCUGAAAAUAUGGGGGAUUUAAAAACACUUGUACUAAUCAUAUUAAUUAUUGUGAUCAGCCUUAUAUUUGCCGCUGCUGCUAAAUUUAUUACAUUCAUUUGUUGCUCGAAGAUUCGUAAAGCAAUGCUGGACUGCUUGGAUAAAAGAAGAAAUACACGUGUUCAACAGGAAGAUGUAGCCAACUCAAUUCCCCUCCGGGAAGCCAAUGGAUCAAUCGUUGCUGUUAGUGUACCCGAAAGAGAAGAUAAUCAAGAACAGGCUUUUUAAAGGAAAUGAUUUAUAAAUCUCGUAAUCACCAAAUAUUACCUAUAAAGCAAUGAUGUCAUAUAUAAUAUUGCUUUAAAAAUAAAUAUUUAAAGGCAUAAUUUUAUUCAUCUCAAUUAUUAUUUUAUCAUUAUCUUUAUUCACUGAGUUGCAAAAGAUUUGUAAUUUCUUGACCUUUAAUAAA